UGAAUAGCUUUGCUUUUGAGUAGUUAGCGGCGGACGGGUGAGUAACACGUGGGCAACCUGCCUGUAAGACUGGGAUAACUUCGGGAAACCGGAGCUAAUACCGGAUAAUACAAGGAACCUCCUGGUUCUUUGUUGAAAGAUGGUUUCGGCUAUCACUUACAGAUGGGCCCGCGGCGCAUUAGCUAGUUGGUGAGGUAACGGCUCACCAAGGCGACGAUGCGUAGCCGACCUGAGAGGGUGAUCGGCCACACUGGGACUGAGACACGGCCCAGACUCCUACGGGAGGCAGCAGUAGGGAAUCUUCCACAAUGGACGAAAGUCUGAUGGAGCAACGCCGCGUGAGCGAUGAAGGCCUUCGGGUCGUAAAGCUCUGUUGUUAGGGAAGAACAAGUGCGAGAGUAACUGCUCGCACCAUGACGGUACCUAACCAGAAAGCCACGGCUAACUACGUGCCAGCAGCCGCGGUAAUACGUAGGUGGCAAGC
rnacentral:rRNA from 1 species